UAAAGUAUGAGAAGGGCUUGUGGUGGAUGCCUAGGCACCAUCAGACGAAGAAGGACGCGGCAAGCAGCGAAAACCUCGGGAAGGCGCAAACAGCCUGUGAUCCGGGGGUGUCCGAAUGGGGAAACCUGGCGGGUUCGCCCGUCGACCUAUAGCUGAAUACAUAGGCUUUAGGUAGUCAACGCAGGGAAGUGAAACAUCUCAGUACCUGCAGGAGAAGAAAUCAACAGAGAUUCCCUUAGUAGUGGCGAGCGAACGGGGAGUAGCCCAAACCAGGCAUUUAUGUCUGGGGUUGUAGGACCUGCAUUUAGUGGAGGAUAGCUAGCCGGAUAGGCAUGGAAAGGCCGACCAUAGAGGGUAAUAGUCCCGUAGGCGAAAGCUUGAGACCAUGAGCGGGUAUCCUGAGUAGGGCGGGGCACGUGAAACCCUGUCUGAAACUGGGGGGACCACCCUCCAAGGCUAAAUACUCGAUGGUGACCGAUAGUGAACGAGUACCGUGAGGGAAAGGUGAAAAGUACCCAGAGAUGGGAGUGAAAUAGUACCUGAAACCGCAAGCCUACAAACUAUCGAAGGAGGGCAUGACCCUCUAACGGUGUACCUUUUGUUUAAUGAGCCAGCGAGUUAGUCGUCUGCAGCAAGGUUAAGGGCCUAAGGUCCGGAGCCGUAGGGAAACCGAGUCUUAAUAGGGCGUUGAGUUGCAGGCGCUAGACGCGAAGCCUUGUGAUCUACCCAUGACCAGGCUGAAGCGGGGGUAAAACCCCGUGGAGGGCCGAACCUUAUCAGGUUGAAAACUGACUGGAUGAGUUGUGGGUAGGGGUGAAAGGCCAAUCAAACUGGGUGAUAGCUCGUUCUCUCCGAAAUAUAUCUAGGUAUAGCGUCACGUUGGAAUCGCGGGGGUAGAGCACUGAUUGGACUAGCGGGCACACCAGCUUAGCAAACCCAAACAAACUCCGAAUACCGUUGAUUUUAGAUCGUGGCAGUCAGCCUGCGUGAGAUAAGUUUCGCAGGCGAGAGGGGAACAACCCGGACCAUCGGCUAAGGUCCCCAAGUGAAUGCUAAGUGUAAAAGGAUGUGGGAUUACUCGGACAACCAGGAGGUUGGCUUAGAAGCAGCCAUCCUUUAAAGAAAGCGUAAUAGCUCACUGGUCAAGUGAUUCUGCGCCGAAAAUUACGUGGGUCUAAGCAUUUCACCGAAGCCGUGGACUUGAGUAAUCAAGUGGUAGGAGAGCGUUCCGUAGGCCUGGGAAGGUGAGGCGUGAGCCUUGCUGGAGGUAUCGGAAAUGAGAAUGCUGGCAUGAGUAGCGAUAAUGCGGGUGAAAAACCCGCACACCGUAAACCCAAGGAUUCCUGGGUAAAGCUAAUCUUCCCAGGGUUAGUCGGUCCCUAAGGCGAGGCCGAACGGCGUAGUCGAUGGGAAGCAGGUUAAUAUUCCUGCACCGAUCUGUGUGUUCGAAGGGGGGACGGAGUGAAUACAAUCAGCUUCCUGAUGGAUGGAAGUUUGGGAGCGUAGGAGGUUCGGUAGGCAAAUCCGCCGAGCGCUACUCCGAGACUCUUGAGGAAGUGCGUCGCUUGCGACAAACCAACUGAUUGGAAGGGCUUCCAAGAAAAUCCUCUAAGGCAUAGCACAGACGACCGUACCGCAAACCGACUCAGGUGGGUAAGGCGAAUAGCCUAAGGUGCUUGAGAGAACUGAGGUGAAGGAACUCGGCAAAUUAGCUCCGUAACUUCGGGAGAAGGAGUGCCUGACUUGGUGUAGGAGUACAUCCGAAGCCUUGUUUGGCCGCAGAGAAUUGGCAGAAGCGACUGUUUACCAAAAACACAGGACUGUGCCAACCCGCAAGGGGCAGUAUACAGUCUGACACGUGCCCGGUGCCGGAAGGUUAACAGGAGAGGUCAGCGCAAGCGAAGCCUUGAAUCGAAGCCCCGGUAAACGGCGGCCGUAACUAUAACGGUCCUAAGGUAGCGAAAUUCCUUGUCGGGU
rnacentral:rRNA from 1 species